AAGACCGAAGAGGCUGCGUUCGCACACGGCGAAGGUGUCGAGAGGCGCGCACGAACAGUCGAUCUCCACGAGCGAGAUGCGUUCAGAUGGUCAGCGAGGUAGUUUUGAAUUGUAAUAAUUCUAAAUCAUUGAUUUUUUUCGGAUUUUUGUUGACGGCGAACGCCUGACCAUGGUCUCAACCGGCUCCGAAAUUGGGGGUAAUAAUGACCAGUGCACGGCAUGAAACGAAA
rnacentral:misc_RNA from 1 species